GAGGUGACUUUCAGGAGGUGCGUGGGUGCAGGAUCGCCGGGUCUUUCGAAGCCUUCAGCUGGAAAGCAAGCGGAGCCUUAAUUGCAGGAAGGAAUGCACGAAACCGAAUUAUUAACCCUUUGCACUCGAGUGGCGACUCCGAGGCGACGCUAGAAAUUGCUACGCUGUUUUCAAAAGAAUUUCUACGUUAUUAUAUCUUUCCGAAUUCGAUAAAUUGUCGAAUAAUAGAAGCCUUCUAUAAGCAUACACAUUCAAUUUCAUAUGUAAAAAAAACAAUAAAUAAUUAAAAUAGUCUCGAGUGCAAAAAGAAUUAAGUGCGAAUCGCGUGUGUUCGAAAACAUUCCAUUCUCGUAUCAAUCUGUCGACGAUUAGGCGAAUUUUCGCCGGUCCGCAGAAAUCGGUGGUACAAGUAAACGCGAUGUCCGCCUUGGAAUCGGAUCAAUGAUCAACGAUUACAACUCGCUGGUUGUUACAACUAAUUUAGAACAAUGAUAUCAUAACUUAUUAGUUACUAUAAUUAAUUCGUGACAAUUUCUACGAAAUUAUAUUAGAACUUAGCUUCGAAUCUCUCCGAUUAAAUAGAGAAAAGUUCGUCGAACAGUUUUUACCAUGCACUCCUUCCUGGCCGAUAUCUAGAAUCUAGAUCUAGAUCGCAACUAACCUGGUUUCUUCUCGAGUAUUGUUUUCGAUGGCACAACGACAUUAUAGGGCACAGUCUCCGGCGGCGUGCUGCCGCUUUUCAAGCCAAUGUCCACCUCCACGCUGACAGCCAAAAUCUUCGACUUUUUCUUCUUGUGCUCCUUGUCCUUUCUUUUGCUGAUCGGCUGCGGCAGGGCUCCAUUGCUGCGUUCGACACAAACAUUAUAUAUUAAAUAUAACAAAAUCGUAUUCUUCCGUUCAUCGAAGUCUACCUAAAAGCAUUUCGGAAAAGUCGCAGCUCAUCGAGAUCAACGCUUCGCGAUCUAAGGCUACCAUUUUAGGAUCGAAUCUUCGAUUGCCUGUAACCGAGCGAGCCUUUGCUGUGUUCGGGACCUCGGUUCCUUUCCCGGAGAACUGAAUGGCGUCAGCGAGCACGUGGCAGGCAACGUGCUACGCUACAAACGGCGGGAUCUUAUCGAGACAUCCGCAGACACCGCGAAACGAGAGGCACGAGCGUCGGCGACGAUAACGCGACAACACACGGAACCAUCGAUGGUUCUUCGGUCAGUUUGUCGGGCGCCGAUACGAAUAGUACACACACCGUCUAAAGAUAUAUCGUCGGGAUUUUUCGCUGAGUCAACAAACGGAAGACGUGCACGGUGGACGUGCAUGCGAACGCGAGACGCAAGGCUCGCACGUGUUACGUAAAAGCUCGUUCAGGUGAAACUUCCGCGGACUAAUGAUGAUGAGGCAUCCCGACCUAUCUUAUUUCUUGGCUGCAAGAAAUUAAUCAUCGUCGCAUUUGGUCCUGUUCUGCCGUUCUAAAACGAAAGGGUUCUAUCUGGAAAAUUUGAUAUUUUGAUAUUUUGAUACCCCUAUAUUGCUGUGUGCAUUUGCUACACGUGUACUUGUAUGUGUAAGCUAUAAUGUCCCACUUGAAGUUUUAAUAUCUCAUAAAUUACUUUUUUGUUUUAGGACGGAAGUAUUAACACUGCUCUCUCUCUCUUACUCUCUCCCCCCUCUCUAUCUUUGUCUCUCACUACCUCUUGUAUCUAGAAUCAAUGGAAGAACGCGUUCGUUGAAAUCUCCGUGAAAAAACGCGAACGCAUCCAUGUUAAUGCCCGAGGAACAUUGAACGCCGAAUCAGAAUCAGCAAGAGCGACCUUCAUGCGAGCGUGACACCAGACGAAUCAGAGAAUUGAAACGAACGUCGGAGCUCUCUCUCUCACGGAAACUUUCCUGGGAAGCAGGCGCAUUGAUGCAUGCACGGCUGAUUGGCUCGACCAGCGUGCAACCCAUAGGCGGAGACCAAUGAGACCGCGAGAAAACGAGGCGUGUCGUUUAAGCAAACGUUUCGAUUACACCGGCGACGAUUUCGACCGACCAAAUGGACGGUUUUCCAAGACCAGUAAAUGCGAGGAACCGACAUUAAUUAAAAAUUAACUGUUCCCAAUUGUUAAAAUUGAUUUUAAUAAGCCGUGAAAAAUAGCGCAACUACGUUGUCAAAUUCUUCUUAUCUGUUCACAAUUCUAGCAAAUAAAUCUUCAACUUUAAUCUAUGCA